GAUGAACGCUAGCUACAGGCUUAACACAUGCAAGUCGAGGGGCAGCGGGAUUGAAGCUUGCUUCAAUUGCCGGCGACCGGCGCACGGGUGAGUAGCGCGUAUCCAACCUUCCGUACACUCAGGGAUAGCCUUUCGAAAGAAAGAUUAAUACCUGAUGGUAUCUUAAGCACACAUGUAAUUAAGAUUAAAGAUUUAUCGGUGUACGAUGGGGAUGCGUUCCAUUAGGUAGUAGGCGGGGUAACGGCCCACCUAGCCAACGAUGGAUAGGGGUUCUGAGAGGAAGGUCCCCCACAUUGGAACUGAGACACGGUCCAAACUCCUACGGGAGGCAGCAGUGAGGAAUAUUGGUCAAUGGACGAGAGUCUGAACCAGCCAAGUAGCGUGAAGGAUGAAGGUCCUACGGAUUGUAAACUUCUUUUAAUACGGGAAUAAAGUUUCCUACGUGUAGGAUUUUGUAUGUACCGUAUGAAUAAGCAUCGGCUAACUCCGUGCCAGC
rnacentral:rRNA from 1 species